CUACUACGGGGCGCAGCAGUGAGGAAUAUUGGUCAAUGGGCGCAAGCCUGAACCAGCCAAGUCGCGUGAGGGAAGGCGGCCCUACGGGUUGUAAACCUCUUUUGCCGGGGAGCAAGCCUGAGCACGUGUGCCCAGGCGGAGAGUACCCGGAGAAAAAGCAUCGGCUAACUCCGUGCCAGCAGCCGCGGUAAUACGGAGGAUGCGAGCGUUAUCCGGAUUUAUUGGGUUUAAAGGGGGCGCAGGCGGGAGAGCAAGUCAGCGAUAAAAUGUCGGGGCGCAACCCCG
rnacentral:rRNA from 1 species